rnacentral:lncRNA from 1 species
UGAGGCAACUAUUUUCAGGCAUUGCACAAUAAAUAUUAUAAGAGAACAAUCCCCAAGAAAGGGAAACCACAUGAGAGCAGCCCCAUGUUCACUCUAGUUCUCUGCCUGAGGGAAAUUUUCUCACUGUAGCACCAGGAGGUACAGUCCAAGCACAGCAUAGUGUUCGUAAUAGACAGAAAGAGCAGAGUUCAGAAUUUGGAUUUCAGAGAAGGAUAUACACAGGGCCCUUUAGAAGUCAUUGUGGGGUUUCCUCUUGGGGCAUUUGUUGAGGGCUGGACUGCAUAUACAGAGUGUGACAUUCUGUGCAGCCUGGAAGAAAUCAGCAGUGGGGUUGAGAGAAGAAUGUAGAUACUAGAGGUGGCACAGUGCUGGGAGAUAAUGGAAUUCUGACUUAAACAGAGUGGAGAGAACUUUAAAACCCCAGUCAUUCCAUUUACAUUUUAAGGAGAAAGAACCACUCCCUAGAGUAAGGACUACUCUAUAUCUGCCCUAAUAAAGCCUAAAUUUACCUCACCUGGAUAAAGGAUCAAGUAAAUUAAUUGCCUCUUGGAAACUCAGUACUCUUCAAGAGAUGCAAUAUAAACCAGCUUCCUUAUAAUGUCUCACCCACAGUGUGCAACAUAGAAUAAAACAAAACAAAACAAAAAUAGUAAUCCCAGAUACCCUGGAGGUUGAGGCAGGAGGUUGCAAGUUAGAGGUCAGCGUAGACAAUUUAUCUAGGCCCUGUCUCAAAAAGGGUUGGGGACAGGAAGUGACAAGAUGAGAGUUGCUAUGGUUGGUAUUGUCACUUCUGAGCAUUCCUGCAUUGAGAGAGAUUUUGGGAGAUAUAUCCAAACUAAAACAAUAUGCCAAGAUAAUCUCCUUAUUCAAAGUAAACAAUUAGCAACUUUAAUUCCUCUGUCAUAUAACACAAUAUAUUCACAGGUUCCAGGGAUUUAAGACACAUCUUUGGGUGGUCAUAAUGCUGCCUGCCACAUGGUGUAUGUACUCUGUAAUGGAACCAAACUAGAAAGCAAUGGCAGAAAUGCAAAAGGAAAAUCACUUACAGCUAAAUAAUCAUGGGUCAGAGAAAGUCUCAAAGGAGAUUUAAAAAUAGUUGCAUGAAAAUGAAAAUGCAGCAUCUCAACAUAUGUGGGACCCAUAGACAAAUAUUUUGUACAUACCAGUUUUAUUGAGCUAUCACCAUUUAAGGUGUAUGAUUCAAUGGCUUUUAGUUUAUUUAGAGAGUUGUGCAACCAUCACCACUAUUUUGAGAAUACUUUCACCACCCCAAAAAGAAACCCCAUACUUAUUCACAGUCACUUUCUAUUUCUAUGGAUUUGCCUAUUCUGUACUUGCAUGUAAAUUGAAUCAUUCAUUAUGUAGCCUUUUGGGAUUGAUUUCUUUCCUUUAAAGUGUUUUCAAAGUUAAUCUAGCUCUAUACCAGCACUUCAUAGAUUUUUGACAAUCAAAUAACAUUCUAUUGAAUGGAUAUAUCACUUUAUUAUCCAUCUAUUGAUGAACAUUUGGGUAGGAUCACUUUUGACUAUCACAUGUUUUAGCACAUUGGGUGAAAGAGAUACCUAGGUGAAAGGGAUACCAGGUGUAUCUAUGAGGGUAUUUUCAAAAACCUCAAAAUCUGCUUUAAUCAGUGUUCUCCAGAAUAUAUAUAUAUAUAUAUAUAUAUAUAUAUAUAUUAUAAACAUAUAUACGUGUGUGUGUGUGUGUGUGUGUGUAGAAAGAGAGAGAAAGGGGGAGAAACGGAAUUAUUAGAGAAACUGUCUUAAUUACAGAGGCUGAGAAGUCACACAAUAGGCCCUCUCUGCAAGCUGAAGAAUCAGGGAAGCCUGUAGCAUGGACCAGUCCAAGUUUGUAAGUCUCAAAACAAGGGAAAUUGAUGAUGUAACUCUCAGUGCAAUGCCAAAGGCCCAAGAGCCAAAGGAGUUGCUGGUAUGAAUUCUGAAGCUCAAAGGCCAGAGAACCUAGAAGCCUAAGCCCACAGAGCUUUACAGGUGAAUUCUUCCAAACAUUUAGAGAAUAAUACCAAUCCAUUACAAACUCUUCCAGAAAUGAAGGAAUGAAGGAGGAGAAAAGAACAUUUCCCAGCUGACUCUUUUGUUUUUUACUGGGCGUUAAGUCCAGGGGUACUGUCACUGAGUUUCAUCCCCAGGAUCUCGAUAAGUUGCUGAGUCUGGUCUUGUACUUGUGAUCCUUCUGCUUCAGCAUCCCAAGUUGCUGGGAUUUAAUCCUAGCUCCUAGCUCAUUCUGUGAGGCAAGUCUUAUCCUGUUAUCAAAGCCAGAGAAAAGUAUUUUACACACACACACACACACACACACACACACACAAUUACAGCUCAGUAUCAGGAAUAUAGCUACAAAAUAUUAGCAAACUGAAUCUUGUGACAUAGAAAAGAUUAUAAACCAUGACCAAGUGAGAUUUAUCUCAGAAAAAGUUGGUUCACUAUCCAAAAGAUGAAUUAACAUUACAUACCAUAUUAAUAUAGGAAAAAAACUCACAUAUUGUCUUAAUAAAUGCAGGAAAAAACAUUUCUCAGCAUCCAACACUCAUUCAUGGGGCUGCUUUUAUACCCUCAACAAUCUACAGUUAAUUCACACUUAAUGAUAAAAGACUGAAUUCUUUUCUCUUCAGAUCAGGAAUAAGACAAGAAUAUCCACUUUCAACAUUCUAGUGAAGUUUCUAUCUAGUGGCAUGAUGCAAGAAAAAAAACAUAAAAGUCAUCCAGAUUAGAAAAGAAGAAGUAAAGGUGUCUCUAUUCACAGAUGAUAUAAUCUUGCACACAAAAAAUUCUAAGAAACAGAAUUAAUAAUAGAAUUAAUACACAAUUUCAGUAAAGUGUGUUAAUCAAAAAAUAAAUUCAAAACCAAUUGUAUUUCUAUAUGUUAGCAGUGAAUAAUACUGAAAUGAAAUUAAGAAAGCAAUAUUAUAAUAAGAAUAAAAUACUUAGAAGUAAAUUUAAUAAAAUGAGUGUAAAACUAAGUGUGCACUGAAAACUACAAAACAGAGCUGUAAAGAGUAGGGGAUGUGGCUCAGUGGUAUAGUGCUUACCUAGCAUGUGCAAGACCCUGGGUUCCAUCCCCAUCACUACCAGAAAAUUGCUGGAAGAAAUUAAAGAAGACUUAAAUAAUUGGAGAGAAAUUCAUGUUCCUUGGAUUGAAAUUCUCAAUAUUAUUAAGAUGGCAAUUCUCCCAGAUUUAUGAUUCAGUGCCAACCUUAUCAAGAUUUCAGUAGGCAUUUUUGCAGAAAUUGACAAUCUAAUUUUAAAAUUUAUAUUGAAAUGCAAAAGACACAAAAGGAUUUUGAGAAAGAAGGAUAAAUUUGGAGGUUUUAGAUUGCCCAUUUUCAAAACUCACUAAAAGCUACAGUAAUCUAGCCAUAUGGUACUGAUACUAGGAUAGAUGUGUAGAUCAAUGGAAGAAAACUGAGAGUACAGAAACAAAUCCUUACAUUUAUAGUAAUUUGAUUUUCAACAAGAAUACCAAUAUAAUUAAACAUGGAAAGAACGGUCUGUUCAACAAAUGGUGCUUAGAUAAUUGGAUAUCAACCUGCAAAACAAAACAAAACAUAAAUUUAGAUCCUUCCCUUAAAACACACAUAAAUCACCUCAAAAUGGAUCUGGACCUAAACAUGCAGCCUAAAACUAUCAAACUUUUAAAAUGCAUCAGGAGAAAAUCUUCAUGACCUUGGAUCAGGUAAAAUAAAAACUUACAUAAUACACCAAAAGCAUAAUAGAAAAAAAAUGGGAAAAUUAUAAUUCAUAAGUAAGGAAAACUUGUGUUUCAAAAUACUCAAUAAGAAAACAAGGAGAUAAGACAAUGACUGAGAGAAAAUAUUUACAAGUCAUAUAUGAUAAAGGACUUAACAUCCAGAAAAUGAAAAGAACUAUUUUAAAAUAAUAACAAUACCCAACUUAAAAGUAAGCAAAAGGCUUGAGACAUUUAACCAAAGAAGAUACAAAUGACUAAAUAAGCAUGUGAAAAGGUGUUUAAUAUUACUCAUUAGGAGAAUACAAACAAAAUGCACUUGCCAGUAUGACUAUGAUAAAAAGGACAGAUGUUAAAUAAGUUACAGAAAAAAUGUGGAGAAAUUGGAAACUAUAUUCAUUACUGAUAGAAAUAUAAUAUGGUACAGGCUCUGAAAAAGUUUGAGUUCCUUAAAACUUCAACAUAAAGUUACUGUACAACACAGAAAUUCCAUUUCUAGUUAUAAACGAAAGAUAAAUGAAAAAUAUAUAUUCACAGGCAGAUUUAUAGAUAGUUCUAUAGUUGGACUUUUGAAUGUCCUGCAAAGAACAUGUUAAAGGCUUGGUUCACAUCCUGUGGUGCUACUGGGAAGUGGUGGAACAUUUAUGUGAUAGGACCUAGUGGGAGGCCUUCUAGUAAUUGUGUGCAUAUCUUUGAAGAGGAUAUUUGGACCCUAGCCCUUUUAUUUUCCUCUCUCGGUCUUGUGGCCUGGCCAUGAAGUGAAUGGUUUUGCCACAUACUGCUGCCAUGAUGUGGUGCCUUGCCACAGGCCCCAAAGCAAUGGGGCCCACCAAUCAUGGACUGGAAACUGCAAAAACUAUAAACCCAAACAAAUCUCUUCUUGUGAUAAGCUGAUCAUCUCAGAUACUUGCUAUAGUAAUGGACAGUGAAUGUACAGAUAUUCACAUAAGCUUUGUGUAUAACAGCCAACAAUUAGAAAUGAUUCAUCAAUGCUGGGCAUGGUGGCACAUACCUCUAAUCCUAGUGAUUCAUGAGGCUGAGGCAAGAGGAUCCCAAGUUUGAGACCAUCUUCAGGAACUUGGUGAGGCUCUGAGCAACUUAGCAAGAUGCCGUCAGGGGAUUUGGCUUAGUGGUGAAGUGCCCUUGGGUUCAGUCCCUGGUACCAAAAAAAAAAAAAAAAAAAAAAUUAUCAACUGGUUGAAUGGAUGAAUAAAAUGUUGUUUCAUUCAGUGGAAUGCAAUUUAUCAAUAAAAAGAACAAACUACUGACACAUGUUACAACAUAGAUAAACUUUGAAAAUUUUCAGAAACCUGAUGCAAAAAAAACCACAUACUGUUAUUAUUUAAUUUAUAUUAAAUAUCUAGAAAAGACAAAUCUAUAUAAACAGAAAAUAGAUUCAUUUGCUGUUGCCUAGGCUUGCAGGAAUGGAGAAUAAUUGUAUAUGGACACAGGGAUACCCUUGGGUUGAUGGAAAAUGUGUGGUGGAUUAUGGUGAUGGUUGUAUAGCCCUGUAAAUUUACUAAAAUUAUUGAUUUUGACAAUUACAACAGUGAAUAUUGCAUGUGAAAAUGUUUGCUUUCUGUACUGGGGAUCAAACCCAGGGAUUCAUGUAUGCCAGGUAAACUCUCUACCACUGAGCCACAUCUCCAACCCUCUGUAGUGGUUUUAUUUUAUUUUUUGUUUUUUGAGGAACUUCAUACAGUUUUUCAUAAUGCUGUACUAAUUUACAUUUCCACCAACACUAAUUUACAUUUCCCCUUUCUCCAUGUCCUGUUCAGCAUUUGUUAUUUUUUUGACAAUGACCAUUCUAACUGGUGUAAAUGAUAUCUAAUUUUAGUUUUUAUUUGCAUUUAUCUGAUGGUUAGUGGUGUAGAGCAUUUCUUCAUAUACCUGUGGGCCAUUUGUAUGUAUUCUUUUGGGAAAUGUCUGUUCAGAUCUUUAGCUCCUUUUUAAAUUGGAUUUUUUUUCUAUUGGCUUGAUUUUCUUAUAAAUUCUAAAUACUAAACCUUUGUUAGUUGUAUGUAUAGUUUGCAAAUAUUUUCUCCCAUGUUGUAGAUUGUCUCUCAUUCUGUUGAUUGUUUCCUUUGCUGUGUUGAAACUUAAAUUUGUUGCAAUCCCUUUUGCCUACUUGGGGAUUUGUUUCUUGUGCUUUUGGUGUCAUAUCCAAAAAAUAAAUAAAUAAGUCUGCCCAAUUCCAAUGUCCUGAAGCAUUUCCCCUAUGUUUCCUUCUCAUAGUUUCACAGUUUCAGGUCUUAUGUUGAAGAUUUUAAUCCAUUUUGAGUUGAUUUUUGUAACUGGUAAGAGAUAGGGGGUCCAGUUUCAUUUUUCUGCUUGUGGCUAUCUGAUUUUCUCUGCCCCCAUUUUCACUGCCAUUGCCCAUUGUGUAUUCUUAGCUACUUUAUCAAAAAUCAUUUGGCUAUAAAUGCAUGGGUUUAUUUCUGGGCUCUCUUCUAUGUUCCAUUGGUCUGUUUUUAUUGCCAGUACUAUGGUGUUUUGGUUACUAUAGCUUCUGAGUAUAUUUUGAAGUUAGUAUGAUACUUUCCAUUUUGUUCUUUUUGCUAAAGGUUGCUUUGGUAAUUUUGGAUCUUUUACAGUUCCAUACAUAUUUUAGAAUAUUUUUCUAUUCCCGUGAAAAAUAUCAUUGGAAUUUUGACAGAUUUUAUUGAAUUUGUAGAUCACAUUGUGUAAGUAUGGAUAUUUUAACAAUAUUAACAAUUUAACAAUUUAACAAUAUUAAUUCCUAUAGCCCCAGAGCCUGACACAUCUUUCAGUUAUUUAUAUCCUCUUCAAUUUAUUUCAUAAAUGUUUUAUAAUUUUCAUUGCAGAGAUCUUUCACCUCUGCUAUCAUUUGGAUGUGUUUUGUCCCCUUCAUGUAUUGGAAGCUUGAUCCCCAGAGUGACAAUGUUGAGAGGUGGCAAGGAACCUUUAAGAAAGAGGUGGAGCCUGGUGGGAGGUCCACUGGGAGUGCUGUCCUUGGAAGGGAUUAAGGUAGUUGCUCUGGGACCUCAUAUUUAGUUCUUGGAAGAGUGAGUUGUUAUAAAAACUUUAGCCUGAUCCUUGAAUAACUCUGCAUCUCAUGUCUGGCCAUGUGAUCUCUGCCCUCACUUCUGCUCUCACUACUGUGAUGUCAUCCAUCAGGAGAGUUUCUCGCUAGAAUCAAACUGAUGAUGGUGCCAUGCCUUUGAACCUGUAGAACUGUGGGUUAAGUAAACCUCUUUUCUGUAUAAAAUUACCUACCCUCAAUAUUUUAUUGUAUUAACAAAAUGGACAAUACAAUAAAUGUAUUAACAAUAUAGUCUCUUGUUAAAUUUAUUCCUAAUUGUUUUCUAAUGGAGUAUUUCUUUUUUUGUCCUUCUCUCCCCAACCCCUUCUUUCUUCUUUUGAUGGAACUGGAGGUGCUCUGCCAUUGAGCUGAGUCUUCUUUUGUUUUUUAAAUUUCAAGACAGAGUCUUGAGACUGAGUUUCCCAGGUUGGCAUCAAACUUGGGACCCUCUUGCCUUAGCCUUCGAAGCAGCUGAGAUUAUAGGCGUAAAUGGUUGCUCCCUGGAUGAACUCUUUAUUACAGGUAGGAGAUACAAGGUACAAUAAACUGUCAUUCAUUUUGGAGGGAAUGUCCCAGCAUUCCCCAGACCCUAAGGCCACUGGGUACUCAAUGACUCAUAUGAUUCAUCAUUGAAUCUUUUCAGAGUUUAUCUCUUUCUAGAGUGUAUGUAUUAUCAGGGUAUCCAAAAUACUUCUGCUUCUUGUUCAUCACGUCUGGUUUACAUGAUACCAUCAAUAUAAUGGACUAAUAUGAUGUUCUACAAAAUACCCACAUGGUUUAGGUCCUUUGAGAUAAUAUUAAUUUUUAUAAUCUAGACUUGGGGUAAGAAUGUGAAUAUAUAGUGAUAUCUGUUCCAUGUUAAUCAGAUUGUUUUUUGAACUUCUUUCUAGAUAGGAAUAAAAAGAAUAUGUUUAUCCAAAUCGAUGUCCAUAUACUACCCACCAGAGGUUUAAUAUGUUCUGAAGAUACCACAUCCAGCACAGUAGAUUGAAUUGGGACUAUUCCUGAGAAGGUGCCAGACUUAUAAAUUAAGUUGGGAUAUGAUGGGGCCACUACCUAAUGUUUUAAGGGUGAUGUUAAUCCCUAUCCAUCUCCCGGUUUGUGGUUUUGUUUUGUUUUGUUUUGUUACCUGGGAUUGAACUGAAGGGCACUCGACCACUCAGCCAUAUUCCCAGCACUUUUCUGUAUUUUAUUUAAAGAUAGAGUCUCACUGAGUUGCUUAGCGCCUCACUGUUGCUGAGGCUGGCUUUAAUCUUUCGAUCCUCCUGCCUCAGCCUAUGUCAGCUGCUGGGAUUACAGGCGUGCAUCACCAUGCCCUAUUUGUUUGUUUGUUGUUGUUUUUAUUUACAGUGUCAUGUAUUAAAUCCAGGGCCUUGCACAUACUAGACAAAUGAUCUACUAAUGAACUACAUCCCCAGCCCUUUUAAAGGGGUUUUAAGCAAGACAGUGUCUUGCUGAGUUUCCCAUGCUGGCCUCAAACAUGUGAUCCUCUCAUCUUAGUCUCCUGAGAGUAGCCGGGAUUACAGACAUACACACCAUGCCCUGCUUGUUUUUUAUUCAUUAUCUUGGCCGUUGGA